rnacentral:rRNA from 1 species
AUUGAACGCUGGCGGCAGGCUUAACACAUGCAAGUCGACCGAGCGGCGGACGGGUGAGUAAUAUCUGGGAACGUGCCCGAUAGAGGGGGAUAACUACUGGAAACAGUAGCUAAUACCGCAUACUAUUAGAUGUGCCGAGAUGGGAUUAGCUAGUGGGUGGGGUAAUGGCUCACCAAGGCCACGAUCCCUAGCUGGUCUGAGAGGAGGACUAGCAACCCUGGAACUGAGACAAGGGCAAGAGUCCUACGGGAGGCAGCAGUGGGGAAUUUUGGACAAUGGGCGAAAGCCUGAUGCAGCCAUGCCGGGUGUGUGAUGAAGGCUUUCGGGUUGUAAAGUACUUUCGGCAGGGAGGCGUUACCUGCAGAAGAAGCACCGGCUAACUCCGUGCCAGCAGCCGCGGUAAUAC